AGUUGCCGCUUGCAAGAUUGCGAUGUGGCCACGUUUUUCUUCAAAACGCUUCUAUACAGGAUGAUCGAAAAGGAAUGAUCUUCUAAUGUUUCUUUCCUACUUCGGUUACCGCUGCAGCAAUUACAACUUUCUUUCCAUUUAUUUAUGUUGUUGGUCACUGUACGUCGAUAGUGAUCAUCUUGCAAUGCGAUGUAAUGAACUGUCCAAUCUCCACUGGAGACACUGAUGCUGCUGACAUUUAAUAUUGGUUGCAGUUUUACCUUAGUACUUGGGAAUAUCCACUGAAUGAAGAUGGCUGGCUAAAGAACGGUACAUAUGCAGGCUAUUACUUCAUCUAGAUAGCGGAAGACAUUUUGCGGAAUUACUUUAGCUGAUGAGUCUGAAAAUUUCCAUAAAGAAAGUCUUAAUUGAGAAACAAAAACAACAGCAUAAACAUGGUCGCCUUUGCAUGACCUGCAAAUAAUUUGGAAUGUUACCAUAACCUUUUGCAGUCAUUUACCUACACAUGUUUUUUUCCUAGACUAGCAUGUAAAAGCUGAUCAUUGCAAUAUGAUCAGUUUGGCAGAAUUAUUAUACACAUGUACUUGUAGAAUGCACAGUAUGUGUAUGGGAUAUCUAAUGGCCAAUUAUUCUAUCGCUUGGAUGCUCAUUUGACAUAGGUUGUGCACUUUGUAGGUAUAGUUCCGAAUUCCAAAGAGAUUUGGUCAUGGAAGUUGGUCCGCCCAACAGUUAUUUGAUAGAUAUCGGGAAAUUAAGACGUGCAAUGAGACGUUUGUUUCUGUUGGGUAUUUCAUGGUAAUUUAAAGGAUCUACAAUUUAUUACGCUUUUUACAAAGUACCUAUACACAACAAACCCAAACUGAAUAGGAGAUCCAGCACGAAUUUAAACUCCUAUAAGCAGGUUCUGUUGGACCUUUUAGAAUAAUGAAUAUCAAUAUUAUGUUUGUUAAGUUUUAUAAUAAAAAUCUAAAACAAU